AGAGUUGAUCAUGGCUCAGGAUGAACGCUAGCGACAGGCUUAACACAUGCAAGUCGAGGGGCAGCAUAAAGUAGCAAUAUUUGGUGGCGACCGGCGCACGGGUGAGUAACGCGUAUGCAACCUACCUAUCAGAGGGGAAUAACCCGGCGAAAGUCGGACUAAUACCGCAUAAAACAGGGGCACCGCAUGGUGAUAUUUGUUAAAGAAAUUCGCUGAUAGAUGGGCAUGCGUUCCAUUAGGUAGUUGGUGAGGUAACGGCUCACCAAGCCGACGAUGGAUAGGGGAACUGAGAGGUUGGUCCCCCACACUGGUACUGAGACACGGACCAGACUCCUACGGGAGGCAGCAGUGAGGAAUAUUGGCCAAUGGGCGGGAGCCUGAACCAGCCAAGUCGCGUGAAGGAAAAGAAGGAUCUAUGGUUCGUAAACUUCUUUUGCAGGGGAAUAAAGUGCAGGACGUGUCCUGUUUUGUAUGUACCCUGAGAAUAAGGAUCGGCUAACUCCGUGCCAGCAGCUGC
rnacentral:rRNA from 1 species